GCCGCGGUCGCCUAAUCGUAUGGCGACGGCUUGAUACGCCGUAACCCGCAAGGGUCUCUGGGUUCAAAUACCUUUCGGUGUUUUCAGCCGGUGGGUUGAAUCUCCCAGCCGCGGCG
rnacentral:tRNA from 1 species